AACCGGAUUAGAUACCCUGGUAGUCCAUGCCGUAAACGAUGAGUGUUCGCCCUUGGUCUACGUGGAUCAGGGGCCCAGCUAACGCGUGAAACACUCCGCCUGGGGAGUACGGUCGCAAGACCGAAACUCAAAGGAAUUGACGGGGGCCCGCACAAGCGGUGGAGCAUGUGGUUUAAUUCGACGCAACGCGAAGAACCUUACCACCUCUUGACAUGGGGAUUAUGGGUUUCA
rnacentral:rRNA from 1 species